rnacentral:rRNA from 1 species
ACCUAAAGUAACUCCUGAUUAUCAUAAAUCACCUCACCACUUUAGAGCAAUUCAAAUGAGGUACAGCCCAUUUGAUAUAGGAUACAACCUUAACUAACGGGUAACAUUAAAUCUACACCUCCAAGUAGGCCUAAGAGCAGCCACCCUUUAAAAAAGCGUCAAAGCUUAAUCAUGUUCACAUCAAUUUUUAAUCUUCAAUUGACCCCUUUUACCUUACUGAGAAUUUCUAUAUCAUAUAGAAUAUUUUAUGCUAAAACUAGUAACAAGAGUAAACCCUCUCCCAAUGCAAACACAAGCCAGCAAGAACCCAUCACUGGCAAUUAACAGACUUAAACAAAAGUAGCAACAUCUCUAGAAAACCCUACUCAUCCCAACUGUUAACCUUAUACCAGAGCAUUUCAGGAAAGAUUAAAAGAAAAAGAAGGAACUCGGCAAACACUAAUCCCGCCUGUUUACCAAAAACAUCGCCUCUUGCCCCCAUAAGAGGUCAAGCCUGCCCAGUGACUUUGUUCAACGGCCGCGGUAUCCUAACCGUGCAAAGGUAGCGUAAUCACUUGUUUUCUAAAUAAAGACCAGUAUGAAAGGCAUCACGAGGAUUAAACUGUCUCCUUUUUCCAAUCAGUGAAACUAAUCUCCCCGUGAAGAAGCGGGGAUUAUCCUAUAA